GAUGAACCCAGACCAUCUCCCACCCAAGGAAAUCUCCACAGCAGAGAACUUGGGGGACUCCCAGGCCAGGGAAGUAUCAUAAAUGAGCAAAGCCAGGGGCCAGCUGUAUUGCCAGAAGAAGGAGGGCUGCAGGGAGCUGAGGGAAAGACCACAGGCUUGUGUCCAGCUGACCACUGUCGUGCAAGAAUGUGGAUGUUGUUUCCUGAUAUUCUGACUUUCCAAGAACACCCAAAUCCAGAUUAUUAUGAGAAAUAUUUCCAUUAUUAUGUGCUAGCAACUAUUUAAAAAAAAAAAAAACUUAAGCACUGUGGGGGCCAAAUCAAAUCUAUCUGAAGAAUAUUUUAGGCCAUUGGGUGCCUGUUUGCAAUUUCUGCUCUGCAUCGUUUUUCAAAUUUUUACUAGCCUACAUUUUUAGAUGGGAAAACUGAGUUCAACAAAACCAGUUAGGCUCCUUUCCUACCAGGCCUUCCAAUGUUUAGUAUGCUGAUCUCCAGGAGGGAGGUUGGUAAACCUGUAUUUCCCAAUUUUAUGUGCCCAAGGACCUUCUUUUUCUCAGAGCUUCUCAAAGAGCUGAUGUUUUGUGAACUUUGGGAAACAAAGGCUGCCCAGGAUGCCCGCCUGCCUUCUUUCCUGGGACAAUGUCCAUCAGCCCUACCCCUACCCAGGUAGACUCUCAAGAACUCCAAGACGUCUCAAGUUCAGGCCCAAGAAGUCAGACUCAGAGAAACAGAAGUUCCCUCUCCAGCUAAGCUGGCCUUUGCAGUGUCUAUCUCAGGACCUACCUCUUUCUGAGAUGAUUGACAGCAGGAAUAUCCAUCCCAUACAGGGAAGGUGUGCGCACAGGCCCCCCCCCCCCCACCAACCCCGUUCACAUAGGUGCAUGCUUACCCCAUAAUGCCCAAAGGACAGCUUCUUUAAAACACUACAGGAAACCUAACACCUGCACACAGAAUGUACAUCAGAUGUGUAUCAGGUGCAGAUCAGGGGUGUAGGGUUUUUACUUCCUGUCGGAGAUUUCCAUUGAUGAAAUCAGACUUCAAAAAGCACUGAGCUCCUCAUUACUGGAACUAUGCAAGAAGAUAAUAAAGUGCCCAUCGUCCAGGAGGGAAUAGGAGAGAUUCUUUUUUUUUCCUCCCCAAAGUCCCAGUACACAGUUGUAUAUCCGAGUUGUAAGUCAUUCUAGUUCUUCUAUGUGGGAUGCCGCCACAGCAUGGCCUGAUGGAUAAUGUGUAGGUUUGUACCCAGGAUCUAAACUGCCAAACUCCAGGCCGCCUAAUGGAGCACACAAACUUAGCCACUCAGCCACAGGGUCGGCCCCCUAUGGGAGAUAUUCUUGAACUAAAAUGGGGAGAAAAGCUAAAGGACUUUGAAAGUUCUUCCAAAUUGAAAAUGUUAUGAUUCUAAUUAUAUAUCCCCAGAAAACUUUUUAGGAUGUGGAGAUAAAAAAGUAGAAAACUGGGUAAGUCUGUUUUGUGGCUUUGUCUUUCAUUGCUAUGUGUGGUGUGUGUGUGCAGGUGUGUACGUAUGUUUGGCCAUCUUUGAACUAAAAUUAUCUUAGUACAGAUAUUAU
ensembl:lncRNA